rnacentral:lncRNA from 1 species
CACACACGUGACAACACAGCAACUGAAGAGACUUCGACAAAACAAACAAAUCGGUGAUAUAUUGACCUGUUUAGUGAUCUUUAACGAUAUUUUACAGUCAAAACGUCAAAAUGGGAAUCCAGAAACUGAUAUUAAAAUGAAUCUGACGGCUGCUAUAAGGAAAAUAACAAACUCUACAGCUGAACACAUCUGCAGAAUCCUUCAUGAAGCAUCAAGUGGAUCAAGAAAAGAUCUUACACAACCAGAUCAAGUCAACCAUAUGGUAGAGCAGCAGUUUGCUGGGAGUGGAAGACCACUUAACACUCAUAUCAGAGAUGAGGAACAUGUCAAAGGAGGAGAUCAGCAAGAUUUCACCUCAGCCGUUGUGUCGGGAAUCCAGGAAAGAUUGAAUUGCACCCCAUCUGGUGGACAUCUUCUUCAGACUGUUGAAGUAACCCACAUCCAGCUGUAA